rnacentral:rRNA from 1 species
AUGGGAAGACGAGUCGAUCUGGAGCAAGGCGGGGACUUCCCAGCCGCCAAUGUAUUCCUCCCCGUCACCUUCGACGAGUCGAGCUGGAGCAAGGUGGAUGGGUGCUCAUCUGCAGGUCAUGACCACUGCCAGUUGCAGGACCUUUGCUCCAAGCACCUGUGGAAGAUACUAGCCGAGCUGCGAACUGGUGAGCCGCGGGCAAAAGAAAAUACCGUCGAUGCAGUCGCAGGUUGUGGGUGGAUAGGCAAGCCGGUUGAGCCGAUGUGUUCACACGGGCAUCCGCCAUCCGGUCGAGGAGCGAGCCCAUGUGGUAAAGCUGCUUCGGGCCUUCCAGGUCGCACGCCGAUGCAGUCCUUUCCCAAGUUAUUUCUCCCUCGCCACAUUGUUGAGAGCAAUGAAGAGGGCGUGACCGAGUUCAUUCCAGAUGACCAUGUCCUGCCAGUGUUCAUUGGCCAGUGCAAGGAAUGUGCUCACUAUAAUGUUUGUGACCUCUACAGGAUCAAUGUCGACCGGGGCAUGCUGAUAGAUUUAGAAUGCCUCGCGAAAACGGCAAAGGGUUUGAGGGUGGCGAUUUUUAGCCUUGGAGUUCCAGCUAAGAAAUUUUGCUGCACCGACUUUGUAAACCCAAAGGAUCACACCAAGCCAGUGCAUGAGAUGACAAACAUUGGAGUCAACAGAGCCGUGGAUUGCACUUGCCACGUCGACGCCAUGAUAUUUGCCUUUGAAUGCUUUCAUGAUGGGUGGGGCGUGGUUAGGCUGGUGGGUGUCCCACACAAGGAGGUGGCAUUCAAUACCCACCUGAUGAACUUCCUCAGUGGCAAGACCUUGAAAGGUGCCUUCUUUGGGAACUACAAGCCACACACCAACCUCCCAGACGUUGUCAAGAUUUACGCGAGGAAGGAGCUGGAGCUGGAGAAGUUCAUCAUGCACGACGGACCUUUCUAA